rnacentral:rRNA from 1 species
CCUACGGGAGGCAGCAGUGGGGGAUAUUGCACAAUGGGGGGAACCCUGAUGCAGCGACGCCGCGUGGGUGAAGGAGCGUUUCGGCGCGUAAAGCCCUAUCGGCAGGGAAGAAGAUGACGGUACCUGACCAAGAAGCCCCGGCUAACUACGUGCCAGCAGCCGCGGUAAUACGUAGGUGGCAAGCGUUGUCCGGAUUUACUGGGUGUAAAGGGCGUGUAGCCGGGUUGACAAGUCAGAUGUGAAAUCCUGCGGCUUAACCGCAGAACUGCAUUUGAAACUGUUGAUCUUGAGUACUGGAGAGGCAG